rnacentral:rRNA from 1 species
AAGACCUUGCGCUUUUGGAGCGGCCGAUGUCUGAUUAGCUUGUUGGUGAGGUAAAGGCUUACCAAGGCUUCGAUCAGUAGCUGGUCUGAGAGGACGGCCAGCCACACUGGGACUGAGACACGGCCCAGACUCCUACGGGAGGCAGCAGUGGGGAAUUUUGGACAAUGGGGGCAACCCUGAUCCAGCCAUGCCGCGUGAGUGAAGAAGGCCUUCGGGUUGUAAAGCUCUUUCAGCCGGAACGAAACGGUUACGAUUAAUACCCGUAACUACUGACGGUACCGGAAGAAGAAGCACCGGCUAACUACGUGCCAGCAGCCGCGGUAAUACGUAGGGUGCAAGCGUUAAUCGGAAUUACUGGGCGUAAAGCGUGCGCAGGUGGUUUUGUAAGUCAGAUGUGAAAUCCCCGGGCUUAACCUGGGAACU